UGUCAGACUUGUCACAAGGUUGUUCUAACAAGUCUGAUACAGUCAUGUUAAACAUGAAUGUUACAAGUUGACGACACAAGAUUGUAACAAUACUGCUAUAUCCUGACUGUAUCCGACUUGUUGGAACAACCUUGUAACAAGCCUGAUA